UACGGAGGGUGCGAGCGUUAUCCGGAUUUACUGGGUUUAAAGGGUGCGUAGGCUGCUAGGUAAGUCAGAGGUGGAAGUUGAUCGCUUAACGAUAAAAUUGCCUUUGAUACUGCUUAGCUUGAGUUAUAGUGAGGUUGGCGGAAUGAGACAUGUAGCGGUGAAAUGCUUAGAGAUGUCUUAGAACACCGAUUGCGAAGGCAGCUGACUGGCUAUACACUGACGCUGAGGCACGAAAGCGUGGGGAUCAAACAGG
rnacentral:rRNA from 1 species